GACAGAGGGUGCAAACGUUGCUCGGAAUCACUGGGCGUAAAGGGCGUGUAGGCGGAUCGGCAAGUCGGGCGUGAAAUCCCUGGGCUCAACCCAGGAACUGCACUCGAAACUGCCUUUCUUGAGUGCCGGAGAGGCUCGCGGAAUUCCCAGUGUAGAGGUGAAAUUCGUAGAUAUUGGGAAGAACACCGGUGGCGAAGGCGGCGAGCUGGUCCAUUACUGACGCUGAGGCGCGACAGCGUGGGGAGCAAACAGG
rnacentral:rRNA from 1 species